rnacentral:lncRNA from 1 species
GAAUGCUCAAUAGUUUUCGCCACCAUCGGUGCUACUGCCAUUAGAGAAGAAUCACUUUGUUGCUGAGGCGCUUGACGUGGUCGAUAGACCUUUGUGGUUGGUUUUGGGGUUUGCUGACAAGCUCCAUUUGCAUGACCAAAAGAUAAGCAACACUGACAUCGUUGUGGCUUCCAGGAAUAUGAGACAUGUACCUUCCGAGUGUUCCCGUCAAGAUCACGAUAGAAAAC